rnacentral:misc_RNA from 1 species
GAUGAAGAACGUAGCGAAAUGCGAUAAGUAGUGUGAAUUGCAGAAUUUAGUGAAUCAUCGAAUCUUUGAACGCACAUGGCGCCUUCCAGUAUCCUGGGAGGCAUGCCUGUCCGAGCGUCGUUUCAACCCUCGAGCCCUCGUGGCCCGGCGUUGGGGAUCUGCCACGGCAGGCCCCGAAAUACAGUGGCGGACCCGUUAGGCCCUUCCUUUGCGUAGUAGCAUCAGCCUCGCAUCGGGAGCCGGCGGGCUCUCCUGCCUCUAAACCCCCCAACAAGCCCGCUCCGGCGGCACCAAGGUUGACCUCGGAUCAGGUAGGAAUACCCGCUGAACUUAAGCAUAUCAAUAAGCGGAGGA